rnacentral:rRNA from 1 species
GACGAACGCUGGCGGCGUGCUUAACACAUGCCAGUCGAACGGAAAGGCCCUGCUUUUGUGGGGUGCUCGAGUGGCGAACGGGUGAGUAACACGUGAGUAACCUGCCCUUGACUUUGGGAUAACUUCAGGAAACUGGGGCAAAUACCGGAUAGGAGCUCCUGCUGCAUGGUGGGGGUUGGAAAGUUUCGGCGGUUGGGGAUGGACUCGCGGCUUAUCAGCUUGUUGGUGGGGUAGUGGCUUACCAAGGCUUUGACGGGUAGCCGGCCUGAGAGGGUGACCGGCCACAUUGGGACUGAGAUACGGCCCAGACUCCUACGGGAGGCAGCAGUGGGGAAUAUUGCACAAUGGGCGGAAGCCUGAUGCAGCAACGCCGCGUGCGGGAUGACGGCCUUCGGGUUGUAAACCGCUUUCGCCUGUGACGAAGCGUGAGUGACGGUAAUGGGUAAAGAAGCACCGGCUAACUACGUG